ACAGGUGAUGUGUGUUUCCAGUCCCUAAAGCAGCGUGGUCUCAUCCCUUCUCUACUGUUUCAACUCUUCACAAAUGAAAACAUCUAAUCGCCAAAGUGGUGAAGAAGGAGGUCAUCUACAGAUGACAGGAGCAGUGGCUUGUUUCUUCCAGAAGACUUGAGGAUGCAACUUCUCAGUCGUGAUGACGAGGUGGCAUCUCUGCUGGUGAUGAUGAGGUGGCAUCUCUACUGGUGAUGACGAGGUGGCCUCUCUACUGGUGAUGACGAGGUGGCAUCUCUACUGGUGAUGAUGAGGUGGCCUCUCUACUGGUGAUGACGAGGUGGCAUCUCUACCGGUGAUGACUAGGUGGCAUCUCUACUGGUGAUGACGAGGUGGCAUCUCUACUGGUGAUGACGAGGUAGCAUCUCUACUGGUGAUGACGAGGUGGCCUCUCUACUGGUGAUGACGAGGUGGCAUCUCUGCUGGUGAUGACGAGGUGGCAUCUCUACUGGUGAUGACGAGGUGGCCUCUCUACUGGUGAUGACGAGGUGGCAUCUCUACUGGUGAUGACGGGGUGGCAUCUCUACUGAUCCUGUAUUUCCAUACUAGAGGGACAUGAAGUCUGACUCCAUCCUCAACAUGCGGACCUGCUCUGAGGACAUCGGACACCACCGUUGCACCUUCAGCCACACCGAUUUCCUGUCAGACCGGUUGUCUUUCAACUCCAUGCCGUGGACUGACUCACCUGCAACAUUUACUACCACAGGAAUACAAUGUUCAUCAGACUUCCCACACGGUGGACAGUCUACUCUCUGUCUGGUUGUUAAGACUCUCUGUCUGGUUGUUAAGACUCUCUGUUUGGUUGUUAAGACUCUCUGUCUGGUUGUUAAGACUCUGUCUGGUUGUUAAGACUCUCUGUUUGGUUGUUAAGACUCUCUGUCUGGUUGUUAAGACUCUGUCUGGUUGUUAAGACUCUGUCUGGUUGUUAAGACUCUCUGUCUGGUUGUUAAGACUCUCUGUUUGGUUGUUAAGACUCUCUGUCUGGUUGUUAAGACUCUGUCUGGUUGUGAAGACUCUCUGUCUGGUUGUCAAGACUCUCUGUCUGGUUGUCAAGACUCUCUGUCUGGUUGUUUAGACUCUCUGUCUGGUUGUGAGGUCACAGGAAAUAGACUGAUCUGUUAUGACAGACUGGAAGUUGUAUAACAGAAUAAUACAGCCGGCUCCUCUUCAUGUCUAUUCUGUUAGGUCUUCUGACAUGUUGUUCUCUGUCAGUCUUUGUUCUGGGCUUCAGUUUUCUUCAUGGUGGAUGCAGAAUUCUAAUCCUGAUAGGUUAUAGUUGUAAAGGCUUCAGGAUGUAGCCAGUACAUUGAUAUCCACACUCUAGAUAAUAUACAAGUCCUGGGAGAGGGAACUGCGCUUUCAGGAGAAGGAUAUCAGGACGUUGUCCAGAAACAACCCCCAAACCCUUAACCUCCAAGGCAUCUGUGUACAGGGAGUUUAAUACAUGAUUUGAUACAAUCAGGGCGUUUAAUACAUGAUUUGAUACAAUCAGGGAGUUUAAUACAUGAUUUGAUACAAUCAGGGAGUUUAAUACAUGAUUUGAUACAAUCAGGGAGUUUAAUACAUGAUUUGAUACAAUCAGGGAGUUUAAUACAUGAUUUGAUACAAUCAGGGAGUUUAAUACAUGAUUUGAUACAAUCAGGGAGGUUGACAUACAGUAUAUGGAUUACAUUGUGAAAAAUUCAAUGAUCAUUAAAUAUAUUUUUGGUAUUUCCCCCCCCCCACCCACAUUUUAUUGCACUGUAAGUGUUUGGCAGUUACCAUGGAAAACGUUGUGGAAUUUUGAACGUGUCUUUAAGAGUGGAAACCCUAGCAACAUACCCUCUGAUAGGCUAGAUCGAAUAAUAUUAGAUCAUUGUCUUUCACAGUUGUAAAUUGACCAGGAUUAUACCACCAUCUUUGAGUUUUACAUGAAUUCUAGUCUUAUCAAAAACAUCACAUCCGGCAUGGGCGCCAGAUUUGUUUCGGGGAAAAAAACGUUUUAAUUUUGUAAAACGUCCUGUAAUUCUACACAUUUUGCCAUGGUUUUAUGACAUGUUCAUAGUCUGAUUUGUAUUGUAUUCUUUGGGUUGGGGGGCCCCCUGGGGGUCAGGCAAGUGCCCUGCAUGUCCGGUCGGUAGGCCGGCUCUAGUCCUAUGUCGGGUUCACAAACUUUUUCUGCAAACAAUUCCAUAUUGACACUAGAAAAUGGAGGGGGACCCCACUUGGGAGAAAUUAUAAUCCCAAAUUAACACUUCAGAUUCAUAGCUUUAGGUACCUCGGGUUGUCCCAACAACAAUAAUGACAUGAAAGCGCAUUCCAAUAGUGUAAAAGGCAAUAAGGGGCCCGAUUCAAUCAGAUCCGCUUUAGCCGACAUCCGCAUCGCUGAUGUUUUGACGUUGUCGGAGCUGUCAAAUCUACCAGUGCUGCACGGAGUUUACAUUAGCAUAAAUAUUAGCAUUAGCAUUAGCAUAUGCACCUAAAUAUUUUGGCUCUGCGACCUGGAAUUUAAAUUUACGAGAAAGAAGAAAAAAAAACACCCAGAUAAUUGUUUCUUUGAUUCCUUCACUACGGCAGCCCCCUAAAUGUAGAGAACUCGCUGAGCACAGAUUCAUAACCAUCAUGCUUGCCCCAUUACUACACAGAAACGCCUUGUUAUGAAAAACAACAACAAAAAACAAAAUGGUGCUCCUAUAAGGCCUGCCUUGUUUACGUGUUCGAAACGCUGGAAUGUGAGAUGUCAUCUACACCCUGAUUAGAACGAUUAGAAUUAGAAUGAUUAGAAUGAUUAGAAUUAGAAUGAUUAGAAUGAUAGAACUUCUUUUUUGUGUGUUUUCUGUGUGUAAUUAUUUCAAUAUAGGCUAGUUUUGAACUUCUAACAGGAAUGGGAUGGUUGUCACUUUGUAACAAUGAUGCAAGAGCAGUUGCUCACUCAUUUAAAGGCUCCAAUGCAGUCCCACUGCUAAAACAUCCACUAUGCGGGUGUCUUCUAUUACUGGGUAACACUUGAUCUUAUUAAAUCUAGACCUAAAAUGUCGUAUUCCAUAGCCACUUGGAAGAAAAAACAAGUUCUUCAUUUGUUUGAUAACAGAUAACAGUUUUUCCUCAGGGGACCCAAGUACUGUGAGUCCUUAGCUGUACUCCAUCUAGCCAAAACCAGAACAAGUUAACUUAGAUCCUGGUAACCCAGGAUGGCUCUGGUCACCAUAGAAACAGUCAGAGGCCCUUCACUCGUUUUAUCCAUAGUGACGGCUGAAUUAACUUGUGUACCAAAGAAAUGAUUUGUAGAUGUUCAUUAACUGGCAACAACAUUUCAACUAACUACUUACUAACCCUUAUCUUAACCCUAACCCUUAUUCUAAACCUAACCUGUAAACCUUAGCAAACGGUUGCUUAUCAACAGAUAGUUUGUCAAUGGUAUGACCACCUGUGGAUAGAUCAUCAGUGCGAGUUCAGGUCCAUUUAAAGACCUGAACUCGCUCAUACAAGAGAACAUAGAAGGCAGGUUGGAAUGUUUGACAGCAGGUUGCCAACAUGAGAUAGCCUGUUACACACCAGACAUGGCUUCAAAUCGUAUUCAAAAUCAUUUUAAAAUACUGUUAUCUGUGCUUGAUUGAGCUUGCCUGUUGCAAUGGAACCCAAUAGAAAAGAGCUCAAAAGUGCAAACCCCGCCCACCUCACACUCCAGGCAUUCUAAAGUCAAGUAGUAUUUGAAUCCAGGUGUUACAAACAACUUCCUAAAAAAAAACGAACGAGACAGUAUCUCCAUAAAUUAUGAGCAGUACUUCACAUGCUCUCUCAGGUUGACAAAAAACAAAGGGUCUGGCUGAGUGCUAAGAAAAACUAUUGGCCAAUGUGUGUCUAGAAUGCCUGCAGGCUGGCUAAACAUUAACUUAGAUCAAACAUUAAUUAAGUAAAAUGCUGACUGUCGAUUAAACAUCCAGGAUGUAGUGACGGUAUUUGACGCUUGUCGCACGUCACGCGGAAAGACUCGUUGUUCUGAACGCACGCAAGCAAGCAUGCCUGUACACACCGUCUAUUGUUGUCUUAGUCCACCACGUAAGUGUCCCUUGAGUGUGUUGGUAGAGAUGUGCCAUCACAGCUGCUCACACACACACACACACGCACACACACACACUUCCACUGAUCAGCCUGACACCAAUAUACCACACUCAUAAUAGACACUGAUCAGCCUGACACCAAUAUACCACACUCCCAAUAUACACCGAUCAGCCUGACACCAAUAUACCACACUCCCAAUAUACACCGAUCAGCGUGACCUAUAUACCACACUCCCAAUAGACACCGAUCAGCCUGACACCAAUAUACCACACUCCUAAUAGACACUGAUCAGCCUGACACCAAUAUACCACUCCCAAUAUACACCGAUCAGCCUGACCUAUAUACCACGCUCCUAUACACUGAUCAGCCUGACCUAUAUACCAUGCUCCUAUACACUGAUCAACCUGAUACCAAUAUACCACACUCCUAAUAGACACUGAUCAGCCUGACACCAAUAUACCACACUCCUAUACACUGAUCAGCUUGACACCAAUAUACCACGCUCCUAUACACUGAUCAGCAUGACACCAAUAUACCAUGCUCCUAUACACUGAUCAGCUUGACACCAAUAUACCAUGCUCCUAUACACUGAUCAGCUUGACACCAAUAUACCACACUCCCAAUAGACACUGAUCAGCUUGACACCAAUAUACCACACUCCUAUACACUGAUCAGCCUGACACCAAUAUACCACACUCCUAUACACUGAUCAGCCUGACCUAUAUACCAUGCUCCUAUACACUGAUCAGCUUGACACCAAUAUACCAUGCUCCUAAUAGACACUGAUCAGCCUGACAUCAAUACACCACACUCCUAAUAGACACUGAUCAGCCUGACAUCAAUAUACCACACUCCCAAUAUACACUGAUCAGCCUGACACCAAUAUACCACACUCCUAUACACUGAUCAGCCUGACCUAUAUACCAUGCUCCUAUACACUGAUCAGCCUGACCUAUAUACCAUGCUCCUAUACACUGAUCAGCCUGACAUCAAUAUACCACACUCCUAAUAGACACUGAUCAGCCUGACAUCAAUAUACCACACUCCUAAUAGACACUGAUCAGCCUGACCUAUAUACCAUGCUCCUAUACACUGAUCAGCUUGACACCAAUAUACCAUGCUCCUAAUAGACACUGAUCAGCCUGACAUCAAUAUACCACACACCUAUACACUGAUCAGCCUGACCUAUAUACCAUGCUCCUAUACACUGAUCAGCCUGACACCAAUAUACCACACUCCCAAUAGACACUGAUCAGCUUGACACCAAUAUACCACACACCUAAUAGACACUGAUCAACCUGACAUCAAUAUACCACACUCCAAAUAGACACUGAUCAGCCUGACCUAUAUACCAUGCUCCUAUACACUGAUCAGCUUGACACCAAUAUACCACACUCCUAUACACUGAUCAGCCUGACACCAAUAUACCACACACCUAAUAGACACUGAUCAACCUGACAUCAAUAUACCACACUCCUAAUAGACACUGAUCAGCCUGACACCAAUAUACCACACACCUUCCACUGAUCAGCCUGACACCAAUAUACCACGCUCCUAGACACGGAUCAGCCUGACACCAAUAUACACUGAUCAGCCUGACCUAUAUACCAUGCUCCUAUACACUGAUCAGCCUGACCUAUAUACCAUGCUCCUAUACACUGAUCAGCCUGACACCAAUAUACCACACUCCUAAUAGACACUGAUCAGCUUGACACCAAUAUACCACACUCCUAAUAGACACUGAUCAGCCUGACACCAAUAUACCACACUCCUAAUAGACACGGAUCAGCCAGACACCAAUAUACCACACUCCCAAUAUACACUGAUCAGCCUGACACCAAUAUACCACACUCCCAAUAUACACUGAUCAGCCUGACCAAUAUACCACACUCCUAAUAGACACGGAUCAGCCUGACACCAAUAUACCACACUCCCAAUAUACACUGAUCAGCCUGACACCAAUAUACCACACUCCGAAUAGACACUGAUCAGCCUGACACCAAUAUACCACACUCCUAAUAGACACUGAUCAGCCUGACACCAAUAUACCACACUCCCAAUAGACACUGAUCAGCUUGACACCAAUAUACCACACUCCUAUACACUGAUCAGCCUGACACCAAUAUACCACACUCCUAUACACUGAUCAGCCUGACCUAUAUACCAUGCUCCUAUACACUGAUCAGGUUGACACCAAUAUACCAUGCUCCUAAUAGACACUGAUCAGCCUGACAUCAAUAUACCACACACCUAUACACUGAUCAGCCUGACCUAUAUACCAUGCUCCUAUACACUGAUCAGCCUGACACCAAUAUACCACACUCCCAAUAGACACUGAUCAGCUUGACACCAAUAUACCACACUCCUAUACACUGAUCAGCCUGACACCAAUAUACCACACUCCUAUACACUGAUCAGCCUGACCUAUAUACCAUGCUCCUAUACACUGAUCAGCUUGACACCAAUAUACCAUGCUCCUAAUAGACACUGAUCAGCCUGACCUAUAUACCAUGCUCCUAUACACUGAUCAGCCUGACACCAAUAUACCACACUCCCAAUAGACACGGAUCAGCUUGACACCAAUAUACCACACUCCUAUACACUGAUCAGCCUGACACCAAUAUACCACACUCCUAUACACUGAUCAGCCUGACCUAUAUACCAUGCUCCUAUACACUGAUCAGCCUGACAUCAAUAUACCACACUCCUAAUAGACUAAAACAUUGCUGGUAACACAGUAAGGCUGCCUUGAUAAUGGGCUUCUCAGGGUUUAUAUAUGCACAUUGCUGUAAUUGGAUACUAUAUGUUCAUGUAAAGACAAUAUUAAUGUCCCUUUCCGGGUAGAUAAAGUGGUUUCUAACCCUGAUCUUUAAAAUAUAGUAUUUUAAAUCCAUUUUUUUUUUAGUGGCCAGACCAAAACCGUUCCUCUAUUGUUGGACAAGAAAAUCCUUGAUUGAAUUUUUUGUAGAACGCAGGUCAGUGGACACAUGAUUUCAGAUGAUUGCAUCCGAACGAGCAGGAAAAUUACAUUUUGAGAGUUGGAAGGAGGUGAGUGACGCAGUGGAAAUGUCUAUUGUAUUGAGGCCCGUGUGGAAUCUUCUCCGUUUG